rnacentral:rRNA from 1 species
GACGAACGCUGGCGGCGCGCUUAACACAUGCAAGUCGAGCGAGAACCGGGGCUUCGGCCCCGGGGACAGCGGCGAACGGGUGAGUAACACGUGGGCAACCUGCCCUCGGCACCGGAAUAGCCCGGGGAAACCCGGAUUAAUGCCGGAUGGCCCCUCAGCCCUGCGGGGCGGUGGGAAAAGGUAGCUUUGGCCUCCGGCCGAGGAUGGGCCCGCGGCGGAUUAGCUUGUUGGUGGGGUAACGGCCUACCAAGGCUCCGAUCCGUAGCUGGUCUGGGAGGACGAUCAGCCACACUGGGACUGAGACACGGCCCAGACUCCUACGGGAGGCAGCAGUGGGGAAUCUUGCGCAAUGGGCGAAAGCCUGACGCAGCGACGCCGCGUGAGGGAAGAAGGCCUUCGGGUUGUAAACCUCUUUCAGGAGGGACGAAGCCACUCGGGUGAAUAGCCCAGAGGGUGACGGUACCUCCAGAAGAAGCCCCGGCUAACUACGUGCCAGCAGCCGCGGUAA